UUUUCGUCCCUUUAUUUCGAUAUCGUCUGCUGUGGGUUCAACAUCCUCUUCACGCAUUUUAAGUUUCCGAGGCAUGCGCUGGGCACGAACCAUAUCUGCAUCAGGGUUAUCAAUUUUGUUGUCAGGAGCCACAUCAUGACUUUUUUCUCCAACAUCUGCUCCAAGGAUCUGUUUAUUUGCCCAAGACUUAAAUCGAGAGGCCCGCUCGGUAGCGUCAUCACUGGAAUCAUCUUCGGAGGUCUCUAAAUCAAAAUCUUCAUUUUCAAAUUCAGGAUGUCCAAAUGAGGGUUGUAAUUUUUGUUCUGAGCGUAAAUUAACUACAUCUUCAGGCACCGUUUUUUCUGCAUCCUUAGUACUAGGCUCGUUAGUGUCUUUAUUCUCUUCUGAAGAGUUGUCAGAAUCCUCUGAGAAUUCCUCACUAUCUGUACUUAAAUAAUCUUCCUCAGCAGAAUCAUAUUCGGGAUCUUCAUUUAGCAUUUUACCCCAAGAAGCAUUUUUUUUCUUUUUAGGAGGAAGGACUUUAAUGUUAGGAGUAAUCUCACUUUCAUUAGUUCCUGUGGAAAAACCAAACCCAAAACCAGAUCUGGUAGAAUACUUUUCUGGAGCAUUGGUUUCAGCUGUACUGCUCUUUGUAGUUGUCGUUUCAACGUCAACAACUUUGUAAAGUCGGCUAUCAGCGUCAGAUAAUGGAAGUCCCAAUUUUUCUUCCAAGAGUGAUUUCUUUAACUUCUCUUUUGCAGUGGCUUGCUUCCCUAAAUUCUUUGAACUCGAAAGUAAAGACGUGUCUAUGCGUUCUUCUGCUA